UACGUAGGGUGCAAGCGUUGUCCGGAAUUAUUGGGCGUAAAGAGCGAGUAGGCGGCCCGAUUAGUCCGCUGUGAAAGUCCAGGGCUCAACCCUGGAAUGCCGGUGGAUACUGUCGGGCUAGAGUCCGGAAGGGGCGAGUGGAAUUCCUGGUGUAGCGGUGAAAUGCGCAGAUAUCAGGAGGAACACCAAUGGCGAAGGCAGCUCGCUGGGACGUGACUGACACUGAGAGACGAAAGCUAGGGGAGCGAAUGGG
rnacentral:rRNA from 1 species